ACUUGAACAAAAAAAAGCUAUUAAAAGGGUCACUGAAAAAAGGAUCAUCAAAUGGAUCUCUGCUUCCAAACACACUUGGCAUCAUCAUCAUACUUCUACCAAAUCCAAAAUCUCCAAACCCAUAUCUAGAUUCAAAAAUAUUAUCUCCAAUUUCUCUACCCUUCAUACUCAUUAUAAUCUAAUCUUCACAAUACAAAGCAACAAAAGACCAAGUAAAAAAAAUUAAAUAAACACAAUCACACACAAGUUUGUAGCCAAAAAGUUCACCCUUCUGCCACUCCUUCUAAUAUCUAACAUCUAACAUAUAUAUUCAUAAGACAAAUAUUUAAACAACACAAAUUGCAUGUCAAGCACGUAAUAAAUGGUUUCAAUAGAUUAACACAUUGUAUAAUUCAGUUUAAAAUUUCAUUUAUUCAUAAUUUUGGAUAAACCAAUGGGUUAUGAUCACAAAAACAUAAAAUUAGAUUAAAUUAAAUUAAAUAUUGCAUAAUUUACAGAACAAAAGAUUAGGAUUAGGCAUAACCCUCUUUUACUAUUAGAAAGGGUGAUUUGAUUAUUGGUGGAAUCAUGGUAUCAAAUUUAUGAUUGUUCAAAGUGAUCCUACAACCCCCUUUAAUUGAAAUCAGUGGCCAAAUUACUAUAGUUUAAUGUUGCAGAAACACAGCAUAAUGCAGCAGCCAAAAUAACAAUUCUCCAUUUAAUGAGACAGAUAAUUAGAACAACAAUUCUCCAUUCAAUUCAUACAAAUUAAUUAAGUCCUAACCAAUUAAAAAGUGAACCACAGUGAAGAAUAAACUUACAGCAGGAUCCAUUGAAAUGAAGAGUUCAAUACUGGCAGAUUUUAAAAUCUGCACAUUUUCAAUCCAUUGAGAUGAAGAAGUUAGAAGUAUACCAAUGAAGGAACAAAACAGAACAAAUCAACAAAAUAGAAAAAACCUAGAUAACAAAUUCAGGAUAAAACUCAGAACUCAGAACCAAGGGCAAGGAAGAGGCUUACCUCAAUUGAUGAGCUCCGGCGAGCCACCAACGAAAGAAGAGAACCAAAAAAGAGAGAUACUCCGGCGAAUCAAAGUGAAGACAGAUUCGCAAAUGGGAGGACAAGGCAAAGAGACACAGUCUCGAAUCAAAGUGAUGACUCGAAGAGGUAGAGGUCCGACAAACCACCGGCGAGAGGCAGAGGAGAAGAACUGUUGACGGCGA